rnacentral:rRNA from 1 species
UGCCUUCAGGAUGGGGACAACAGACGGAAACGACUGCUAAUACCGAAUAAGUUCCAAGAGCCGCAUGGCCCAUGGAAGAAAAAGGUAGGCCUCUACCUGUAAGCUAUCGCCUGAAGAGGGGUUUGCGUCUGAUUAGCUGGUUGGAGGGGUAACGGCCCACCAAGGCGACGAUCAGUAGCCGGUCUGAGAGGAUGAACGGCCACACUGGAACUGAGACACGGUCCAGACUCCUACGGGAGGCAGCAUG